rnacentral:rRNA from 1 species
CCUACGGGAGGCAGCAGUGAGGAAUAUUGGUCAAUGGACGAGAGUCUGAACCAGCCCAGUAGCGUGAAGGAUGACUGCCCUAUGGGUUGUAAACUUCUUUUAUAUGGGAAUAAAAUGUUCCACGUGUGGGAUUUUGUAUGUACCAUAUGAAUAAGGAUCGGCUAACUACGUGCCAGCAUCCGCGGUAAUACGGUGGAUCCGAGCGUUAUCCGGAUUUUUUGGGUUUAAAGGGAGCGUAGGUGGAUUGUUAAGUCAGUUGUGAAAGUUUGCGGCUCAACCGUAAAAUUGCAGUUGAAACUGGCAGUCUUGAGUACAGUAGAGGUAGGCGGAAUUCGUGGUGUAGCGGUGAAAUGCUGAGAUAUCACGAAGAACUCCGAUUGCGAAGGCAGCUCACUGGACUGCAACUGACACUGAGGCUCGAAAGUGUGGGUAUCAAACAGGAUUAGAUACCCCAGUAGUC